UGCAAGGUGGCUUAGCAGGUAGAGCACAGGACUUGCAUACCUGAAGCCCUGAGUUCAAUCCCUGGCAA
rnacentral:tRNA from 1 species